GCUAGCGUAGCUUAACCGCUAAAGGCAUAACGACUGGAAGGAUGUUUAA
rnacentral:tRNA from 1 species